rnacentral:rRNA from 1 species
UACGUAGGGGGCAAGCGUUGUCCGGAUUCAUUGGGCGUAAAGAGCGUGUAGGCGGCCAGGCAGGUCCGCUGUGAAAACUCGAGGCUCAACCUCGAGAUGUCGGUGGAAACCGUCUGGCUAGAGUCCGGAAGAGGAGAGUGGAAUUCCCGGUGUAGCGGUGAAAUGCGCAGAUAUCGGGAAGAACACCCGUGGCGAAGGCGGGUCUCUGGGCCGUAACUGACGCUGAGGAGCGAAAGCAGGGGGAGCGAACAGG